rnacentral:rRNA from 1 species
UCCAGACUCCUACGGGAGGCAGCAGUGAGGAAUAUUGGUCAAUGGGCGCGAGCCUGAACCAGCCAAGUCGCGUGAGGGAAGACGGUCCUAUGGAUUGUAAACCUCUUUUGUCGGGGAGCAAAAGACGCCACGUGUGGCGUUCCGAGAGUACCCGAAGAAAAAGCAUCGGCUAACUCCGUGCCAGCAGCCGCGGUAAUACGGAGGAUGCGAGCGUUAUCCGGAUUUAUUGGGUUUAAAGGGUGCGCAGGCGGGCUGUUAAGCCGGCGGUAAAAAUUCAGGGCUCAACCCUGUCGAGCCGUCGGAACUGGCAGUCUUGAGUGGGCGAGAAGUAUGCGGAAUGCGUGGUGUAGCGGUGAAAUGCAUAGAUAUCGCGCAGAACUCCGAUUGGGAAGGCAGCAUGCCGGCGCCACACUGACGCUGAGGCACGAAAGCGUGGGUAUCGAACAGGAUUAGAUACCCCGGUAGU